rnacentral:rRNA from 1 species
UACGUAGGCAGCAAGCGUUGUUCGGAGUUACUGGGCGUAAAGGGUGUGUAGGCGGUUCUUUAAGUUUGGUGUGAAAUCUCCCGGCUCAACCGGGAGGGUGCGCCGAAUACUGAGGGACUAGAGUGCGGGAGAGGAAAGUGGAAUUCCUGGUGUAGCGGUGAAAUGCGUAGAUAUCAGGAGGAACACCGGUGGUGUAGACGGCUUUCUGGACCGUAACUGACGCUGAUACACGAAAGCGUGGGUAGCAAACAGG